rnacentral:rRNA from 1 species
UACGAAGGGGGCUAGCGUUGCUCGGAAUUACUGGGCGUAAAGCGCGUGAGGUGGUGGGACAAGUCUGCUGUGAAAGCGCCUGGCUUAACCGGGCGAGGUCGGCGGAAACUGCCUCACUUGAGGACGGUAGAGGGGGGUGGAAUUCCCGGUGUAGUGGUGAAAUGCGUAGAGAUCGGGAGGAACACCCGUGGCGAAGGCGGCCACCUGGGCCGACCCUGACGCUGAGGCGCGAAGGCGUGGGGAGCGAACGGG